rnacentral:rRNA from 1 species
AAUAGAUACCCUGGUAGUCCACGCCGUAAACGAUGAGUGCUAAGUGUUAGAGGGUUUCCGCCCUUUAGUGCUGCAGCUAACGCAUUAAGCACUCCGCCUGGGGAGUACGGUCGCAAGACUGAAACUCAAAGGAAUUGACGGGGGCCCGCACAAGCGGUGGAGCAUGUGGUUUAAUUCGAAGCAACGCGAAGAACCUUACCAGGUCUUGACAUCCUCUGACAACUCUAGAGAUAGAGCGUUCCCCUUCGGAGGACAGAGUGACAGGUGGUGCAUGGUUGUCGUCAGCUCGUGUCGUGAGAUGUUGGGUUAAGUCCCGCAACGAGCGCAACCCUUGAUCUUAGUUGCCAGCAUUCAGUUGGGCACUCUAAGGUGACUGCCGGUGACAAACCGGAGGAAGGUGGGGAUGACGUCAAAUCAUCAUGCCCCUUAUGACCUGGGCUACACACGUGCUACAAUGGAUGGUACAAAGGGCUGCAAGACCGCGAGGUCAAGCCAAUCCCAAUAAAACCAUUCUCAGUUCGGAUU